UGAUUUCCCUAGUAACGGCGAGUGAAGAGGAAAGAGCUCAAAGUUGGAACCUGUUUGGCUUAGCUAAACCGGAUUGUAAACUGUAGAAGUGUUUUCCAGGUACGCCAGGUAAAAAAGUCCUUUGGAACAGGGCAUCAUAGAGGGUGAGAAUCCCGUCUUUGGCCUGAGCUGUUGCCUUUUGUGAUACAUUUUCAAAGAGUCAGGUUGUUUGGGAAUGCAGCCUAAAUUGGGUGGUAAAUCUCACCUAAAGCUAAAUAUUUGCGAGAGACCGAUAGCGAACAAGUACCGUGAGGGAAAGAUGAAAAGAACUUUGAAAAGAGAGUUAAACAGUAUGUGAAAUUGUUAAAAGGGAACCGUUUGGAGCCAGAUUGGCUUGACUGUAAUCAACUUAGGCUUUGGCCUGAGUGCACUUGCGGUCUAUGCCUGCCAACGACAGUUUUGUUUGGGGGAAAAAAUUAUAAGGAAUGUGGCCUCUCGGGGUGUUAUAGCCUUGUAAAAAAUACUCUGGAUGGGACUGAGGAACGCAGUGAAUGCCUUUAGGCAAGGUUGCUAGGCGCUUUCGUUAAUAAAUGCUAGAAUUUCUGCUUUGGGUGGUGCUAGUGUUUAAAGAUGGAACUCGUUUGGUAUACUUUUUAUUCGCUUAGGUUGUUGGCUUAAUGACUCUAAAUGACCCGUCUUGAAACACGGACCAAGGAGUCCACCAUAAGUGCAAGUAUUUGGGUGACAAACCCAUAUGCGUAAGGAAACUGAUUGAUACGAAAUCCUUGAGAUGGCAGUAUCACCCGGCGUUGACGUUUUAUACUGAACUGACCGAGGUAAAGCACUUAUGAUGGGACCCGAAAGAUGGUGAACUAUGCCUGAAUAGGGUGAAGCCGGAGGAAACUCCGGUGGAGGCUCGUAGCGAUUCUGACGUGCAAUCGAUCGUCAAAUUUGGGUAUAGGGGCGAAAGACUAAUCGAACCAUCUAGUAGCUGGUUCCUGCCGA
rnacentral:rRNA from 1 species